rnacentral:misc_RNA from 1 species
GAUGAAGAACGUAGCGAAAUGCGAUAAGUAAUGUGAAUUGCAGAAUUCAGUGAAUCAUCGAAUCUUUGAACGUACAUUGCGCCCGCGAGUAUUCUCGCGGGCAUGCCUGUCCGAGCGUCAUUUCAACCCUCAGGGCCCGCCUGCUUCGGCAGGCGCGGCGCUGGUGUUGGGGAUCGGCCUAACCGCCGUCCCCCAAAUACAGUGGCGGUCUCGCUGCAGCCUCCCCUGCGUAGUAGCAACACUCGCAUGCGGAGCGCGGCGCGGCCACGCCGUAAAACCCCCGACUUUCUGAACGUUGACCUCGGAUCAGGUAGGAAUACCCGCUGAACUUAAGCAUAUCAAUAAGCGGAGGA